UGUGCUCCUUGUUUGGAUGAGUCAUGAUUCUGAGUUAGGAGAGAGAAAUCUGUAGAGAGAGAGAUGUGGUUGAAUAAAUGGGACAACAACAAAAAAAGGGUUUAAAUACAUGUCUUCUUCGAUUCUGCAUCAAUUUUGGAGAGAGGGAAACUUUUAAAAGCUAAGCGGGAUAAAUUUGUAAGGAUUUCUGUGCUUCAAGUUUCACAUGGUUUGUAGUUAUACAAAAACCUUUAAAAUUGUACUUUCCUGUUUUUUACAAU
rnacentral:lncRNA from 1 species